rnacentral:rRNA from 1 species
AAUGGGCGAAAGCCUGACGCAGCCAUGCCGCGUGUGUGAAGAAGGCCUUCGGGUUGUAAAGCACUUUCAAUUGGGAGGAAAGGUUCGUAGCUAAUACCUGCGAGCUGUGACGUUACCUUUAGAAGAAGCACCGGCUAACUCCGUGCCAGCAGCCGCGGUAAUACGGAGGGUGCGAGCGUUAAUCGGAAUUACUGGGCGUAAAGCGCGCGUAGGCGGUUUGUUAAGUCGGAUGUGAAAGCCCCGGGCUCAACCUGGGAAUUGCACCCGAUACUGGCCGACUGGAGUGCGAGAGAGGGAGGUAGAAUUCCACGUGUAGCGGUGAAAUGCGUAGAUAUGUGGAGGAAUACCGGUGGCGAAGGCGGCCUCCUGGCUCGACACUGACGCUGAGGUGCGAAAGCGUGGGGAGCGAACAGGAUU